AACUUUUAGAAUAUAUUUUUUUCUGUCAACUUUCAUUUAACACUCCAGUCCAGUUGGUGGCAGUAAUGCGCUUUCAUAGUCGGUCAAGCAGCCGCCAUUAAACUCCAGAGGAAGAUUUGCACCCUCGCUAACGGGUGCUACUGCGAGACCCAACAUGAAUGAAAAUGCCCGUGCGUUGUGUGAAAUGGUGGAAAAAGUCCUAUUUCACGGAGUUACUUUUUCAGUAUCGUUUUGAUAUCAAGCAAUGUCCCGGCGGAAAACAACAGAUGACACCGCGGCGGUCCAACAGGCCGAACUCACGACCUGAAAAAUGGCCAAGCCUAAACAGCCAGGCCUCAGACCACGGUGCCGAGGCGCUCUGACGGAGUCCACCAGGACGAAGAGAAAUUCAUACAGCAAGGCAGAGUGUGGAAAGCAGUAGAGAUCGACAAAAUGGCGGACGGAGGACGGAUAUGAGGACGACGUCAUGAAGCCGACACUCCACAGAAUGGGAGUCACAUUUGUGUUAAUCAGACUCUUCAGGAACGUCCUGAUGUCCGUGACAAGGACAGAGAAGCAA